rnacentral:rRNA from 1 species
AUGUAUAUGAAUUCAUUGACAUAUUUAACAAGUGAAGCCUUUUCUAAUAUUCCUACUCAUCUGGUGGUUGAUUUGCAAAAGAUGCUCUCAGUUGACAGCGGCGGCGGACAGCGCUGGGCGGCACGCCCAUCAGUGCCCGUGUGCCCCGACCGGUGCGGACUGCUUGUGUAG